UGAGGAAUAUUGGGCAAUGCCCGCAAGGGUGACCCAGCAACGCCGCGUGGAGGAUGAAUGUCGUAAGAUUGUAAACUCCUGUUAGAGGGGAAGAAUAGUACCGGUUGGACCGGUAUAUGACUGUACCCUCAGAGAAAGCCCCGGCUAACUACGUGCCAGCAGCCGCGGUAAUACGUAGGAGGCAAGCGUUGUCCGGAUUUACUGGGUGUAAAGGGCGCGCAGGCGUGAUAAAAAGUCAGUGGUGAAAUCCUACAGCUUAACUGUAGAACUGCCGUUGGUACUUUUAUUCUGGAGUUCGGGAGAGAGAGACGGAAUUCCAGGUGUAGUGGUGAAAUACGUAGAUAUCUGGAAGAACACCAGUUGCGAAGGCGGUCUCUUGGUCCGACACUGACGCUGAGGCGCGAAAGCGUGGGGAG
rnacentral:rRNA from 1 species